rnacentral:rRNA from 1 species
GACGAACGCUGGCGGCGUGCUUAACACAUGCAAGUCGAACGGAAAGGCCCUGCUUUUGCGGGGUUCUCGAUUGGCGAAGGGGUGAGUAACACGCGAGUAUCCUGCCCUUAACUUUGUGAUAACAUCACGAAACUGGGGCUCAUACCGGAUAGGAUCUCCUGCUGCAUGUUGUGGGUUGGAAAGAUUCGGCGGUUGGGGAUGGAUUCGCGGCUUAUCAGCUUGUUUGUGGGGUAGUGGCUUACCAAGCCUUUGACGGGUAGCCGGCCUGAGAGGGUGACCGGCCACAUUGCGACUGAGAGACGGACCAGAAUCCUACGGGAGGCAGCAGUGGGGAAUCUGACGCAGUAGGCGGAAGCCUGAGGCGGCAACGCCGCGUGCGUAAUGACGGCCUUCGGGUUAUAAACCGAUUUCGACUGUGACGUAGAGUGAGUGACGGUAACGGGUAAAGAAGCACCGGCUAACUACGUG